UACGGAGGAUGCAAGCGUUAUCCGGAAUGAUUGGGCGUAAAGCGUCCGCAGGUGGCUGUGUAAGUCUGCUGUCAAAGAGCGAAGCUCAACUUCGUAAAGGCAGUGGAAACUACACGGCUAGAGUGCGUUCGGGGCAGAGGGAAUUCCUGGUGUAGCGGUGAAAUGCGUAGAGAUCAGGAAGAACACCGGUGGCGAAAGCGCUCUGGGACGUGACUGACGCUGAGACGCGAAAGCGUGGGGAGCAAACAGG
rnacentral:rRNA from 1 species